CGGUGUUUAACUGGGCGUGAUGGUGGGACGUCCUACCGGGUGGGCUUAGCCUCGCGAGGGGCGGCCCAACUAAUAUCCCGUCGCGGUGCUCUUUACUGAGUGUCGAGUCGGGCCGGUACGUUUACUUUGAACAAAUUAGAGUGCUUAAAGCAGGCUAUCCUCGCCUGAAUACUGCGUGCAUGGAAUAAUGGAAUAGGACCUCGGUUCUAUUUUGUUGGUUUUCGGAACCCCGAGGUAAUGAUUAAUAGGGACAGAUGGGGGCAUUCGUAUUGCGACGUUAGAGGUGAAAUUCUUGGAUCGUCGCAAGACGGACAGAAGCGAAAGCAUUUGCCAAAAAUGUUUUCAUUAAUCAAGAACGAAAGUUAGAGGUUCGAAGGCGAUCAGAUACCGCCCUAGUUCUAACCAUAAACGAUGCCAGCUAGCGAUCCGCCGAAGUUCCUCCGAUGACUCGGCGGGCAGCUUCCGGGAAACCAAAGCUUUUGGGUUCCGGGGGAAGUAUGGUUGCAAAGCUGAAACUUAAAGGAAUUGACGGAAGGGCACCACCAGGAGUGGAGCCUGCGGCUUAAUUUGACUCAACACGGGAAACCUCACCAGGCCCAGACACCGGAAGGAUUGACAGAUUGAUAGCUCUUUCUUGAUUCGGUGGGUGGUGGUGCAUGGCCGUUCUUAGUUGGUGGAGCGAUUUGUCUGGUUAAUUCCGAUAACGAACGAGACUCUAGCCUGCUAAAUAGGCGUACCUUAUGGUAUCGCGAAGGCCCCCGGCUUCGGCCGGUGGGUUUUUACUACCAACGUACAAACAAAUCUUCUUAGAGGGACAGGCGG
rnacentral:rRNA from 1 species